GACGAACGCUGGCGGCGUGCUUAACACAUGCGAGUCGAACGGAAAGGCCCUGCUUUUGUGGGGUGCUCGAGUGGCGAACGGGUGAGUAACACGUGAGUAACCUGCCCUUGACUUUGGGAUAACUUCAGGAAACUGGGGCUAAUACCGGAUAGGAGCUCCUGCUGCACAGUGGGGGUUGGAAAGUUUCGGCGGUUGGGGAUGGACUCGCGGCUUAUCAGCUUGUUGGUGGGGUAGUGGCUUACCAAGGCUUUGACGGGUAGCCGGCCUGAGAGGGUGACCGGCCACAUUGGGACUGAGAUACGGCCCAGACUCCUACGGGAGGCAGCAGUGGGGAAUAUUGCACAAUGGGCGGAAGCCUGAUGCAGCAACGCCGCGUGCGGGAUGACGGCCUUCGGGUUGUAAACCGCUUUCGCCUGUGACGAAGCGUGAGUGACGGUAAUGGGUAAAGAAGCACCGGCUAACUACGUG
rnacentral:rRNA from 1 species